AUAACAUCUCGAAUGCACGAGGAUAGUUGCUCUUUUAGUGCAUAUAUGGAUAGAGAUAAAACUUUUUUGUCCUUUCUUGGGCUUCUUUUAAUUUUUUUAUGCAUUGAAUUCUUACAUUUUGCUUAGUGGUUAGUCAUAACUUAGCUUGUACCCAUUCAAUGUUCAAUGUUAUUGCUAAGAUACCUUUAUUAAGUUUCAUUGAUUACCUGGCUAAUAUGCUUAUUUCUUUCUAGCCCAGCACUUCUCUAAUUGAGCACAUUCAGCUGGAGGUACACAACAUCAGUUACUUGUAAAAACUGAGAAGAGCGAGCAUAUGAGAAAUCUGGGCUGUUCUUUGGGGGAUAACCUCGUUGCAAUGGAGGUUGAUAUGAUGAUAUUGACAGCUGUCCGAAGAUGAUGCUCAUGCUUGCUUUAAGGUUCAAACUGAGAGAAGCAAACACUUCCAGAUUUCUUGAUGUUCCUUUCAAGACAAAUUUUAUAAACAAUAGAAUUAUUUUUUCCUUGCUUGCACUUACCAAAAAGGAGAUGAAGAAAUUUGUCAUAUUUGGAAAUAAGAGGUAUAACAUCUCAAAUGCACGAGGAUAGUUGCUCUUUUAGCACAUAUAUGGAUAGAGACGAAACUUUUUUGUCCUUUAUUUGGGCAUCUUUUAAUUAUUUUUAUGCAUUGAAUUCUUACAUUUUGCGUAGUGGUUUGUCAUAACUUAGCUUGUACCCAUUCAAUGUUCAAUGUUAUUGCUAAGAUACCUUUAUUAAGUUUCAUUGAUUACCUGGCUAAUAUGCUUAUUUCUUUCUAGCCCAGCACUUCUCUAAUUGAGCACAUUCAGCUGGAGGUACACAACAUCAGUUACUUGUAAAAACUGAGAAGAGCGAGAAUAUGAGAAAUCUGAGCUGUUCUUUGGGGGAUAACCUGGUUGCAAUGGAGGUUGAUAUGAUGAUAUUGACAGCUGUCCGAAGAUGAUGCUCAUGCUUGCUUUAAGGUUCAAACUGAGAGAAGCAAACACUUCCAGAUUUCUUGAUGUUCCUUUCAAGACAAAUUUUAUAAACAAUAGAAUUAUU
rnacentral:lncRNA from 1 species